UACGAAGGGGGCUAGCGUUGCUCGGAAUCACUGGGCGUAAAGCGCACGUAGGCGGAUUGCUAAGUCAGGGGUGAAAUCCUGGAGCUCAACUCCAGAACUGCCUUUGAUACUGGCGACCUUGAGUCCGGGAGAGGUGAGUGGAACUGCGAGUGUAGAGGUGAAAUUCGUAGAUAUUCGCAAGAACACCAGUGGCGAAGGCGGCUCACUGGCCCGGUACUGACGCUGAGGAACGAAAGCCAGGGUAGCGAACGGG
rnacentral:rRNA from 1 species